rnacentral:rRNA from 1 species
UGGGGAGUAUUGCACAAUGGGGGAAACCCUGAUGCAGCGACGCCGCGUGGGUGAAGAAGCGCCUCGGCGCGUAAAGCCCUGUCAGCAGGGAAGAAAAUGACGGUACCUGAAGAAGAAGCCCCGGCUAACUACGUGCC